AAAUACAAAGUUCCUCUGUCCACUCGGGCAGAGUCUCCUUUGUAUUUGCACGGCGUACCAACGGAUACAACAGGAUCACAACCACAAUCUACAUUUACCAAUCAACAACCAAGGCAUGAUAUGCAUUUCCAUACAGCUAACAAUCCUUAGAAUGAUGCAUGCCUCUAAGCACUCCUUAGGCGCUGGAUGAUGCAAUGCACAAUACAACAAACAUCCUAUUUAAAAGUGCUCCCCACACGGAAGCUUUUGUUUUUAAACUCUAAUUUAUUCAUUCAUAAAAAUCAUUCGAAAACCUUUUUAAAACUGUUUCCCACACGGAAACUCUAUUUUGAAAACCGACUACCUCGAGGGGUAGAAAACCACGAUAUGUAAAUACAAGAAAANNNNNNNNNNNNNNNNNNNNNNNNNNNNNNNNNNNNNGAACGCCCCUCCACGUGCGAUCCCUCGCGAAACGGUACAUAAAAUAUCGCGACUUUCGCGAAAAUACCGUUUUGCCACCACCGACCUCUCCUCGAUCAACGCGCGAUCUCCGCAGAUCCGUCCGUCAGAUUUGCGAACUGAUUGCACCGGUGCGAUCAGCACCUCGGAGACAACAAAGCUGCGAUUUCGUUUAAUCUUGAUCGACCGCGGAUUCACGACAAAAUCCAACCUUUCGUUCCGAUCGAAAGAAACACACAAAAAUACAUAUAAAACAUGUAUUUUUGGAUUUUUCUCGAAAUCCGUGCGUCGAACUCAAAAUCCGUCAACGUCAUUAGUUCCAGAAUAGCUGAACCGAUCGAAACGAGCUAUUGGACUGCUAUGAAUAGAGUCCGGUACGAGCCAGAAGCCAACUUCUCACCGCGGCUUCUCCGGAAAAUCGAGUUACUAUUCACUUUAAGUGAAACUUGAAAAUCGCGUAGAAUUUCUGUUUUAACUCGAUUUCGCCCGAAACUUGACAAGUGCUUUUGUAAUUAAAUUACACACAAAAACAUCGUCAACUGAGAGUUUAGCUACACUGCAAAAAUCUCAAUCCUUACACUAAGCCAACACUAUGGAGGAUUGAUUUCUCCUAAUAGAAAU
rnacentral:lncRNA from 1 species